GAUGAACGCUGGCGGCGUGCUUAACACAUGCAAGUCGAACGGAAAGGCUCCUGCUUGCAGGGGUACUCGAGUGGCGAACGGGUGAGUAACACGUGGGUGAUCUGCCCUGCACUUCGGGAUAAGCCUGGGAAACUGGGUCUAAUACCGGAUAGGACCACAUUUUGGAUGGUGUGGUGGAAAGUUUUUCGGUGUGGGAUGAGCUCGCGGCCUAUCAGCUUGUUGGUGGGGUAAUGGCCUACCAAGGCGUCGACGGGUAGCCGGCCUGAGAGGGUGUACGGCCACAUUGGGACUGAGAUACGGCCCAGACUCCUACGGGAGGCAGCAGUGGGGAAUAUUGCACAAUGGGCGCAAGCCUGAUGCAGCGACGCCGCGUGGGGGAUGACGGCCUUCGGGUUGUAAACUCCUUUCGCUAGGGACGAAGCGUUUUUGUGACGGUACCUGGAGAAGAAGCACCGGAUAACUACGUG
rnacentral:rRNA from 1 species